rnacentral:rRNA from 1 species
GACAGAGGGGGCAAGCGUUGCUCGGAAUCACUGGGCGGAAAGGGCGCGUAGGCGGGAUGGCAAGUCAGUCGUGAAAUCUCUCGGCUCAACCGAGAAACGUCGGCUGAUACUGCCGUUCUUGAGGGAUGCAGAGGAGACUGGAAUUCCCGGUGUAGCGGUGAAAUGUGUAGAGAUCGGGAGGAACACCGGUGGCGAAGGCGGGUCUCUGGGCCGAUACUGACGCUGAGGAGCGAAAGCGUGGGGAGCGAACAGG